GACGAACGCUGGCGGCGUGCUUAACACAUGCAAGUCGAACGGAAAGGCCCUGCGUUUGUGGGGUGCUCGAGUGGCGAACGGGUGAGUAACACGUGAGUAACCUGCCCUUGACUUUGGGAUAACUUCAUGAAACUGGGGCUAAUGCCGGAUAGGAGCUCCUGCUUCAUGGUGGGGGUUGGAAAGUUUCGGCGGUUGGGGAUGGACUCGCGGCUUAUCAGCUUGUUGGCGGGGUAGUGGCUUACCAAGGCUUUGACGGGUAGCCGGUCUGAGAGGGUGACCGGCCACAUUGGGACUGAGGUACGGCCCAGUCUCCUACGGGAGGCAGGAGGGGGGAAAAUUGCACAAUGGGAGGAAGCCUGAUGCAGCGACGCCGCGUGCGGGAUGACGACCUUCGGGUUGUAAACCGCUUUCGCCUGUGACGAAGAGUGAGUGACGGUAAUGGGUAAAGAAGCACCGGCUAACUACGUG
rnacentral:rRNA from 1 species